rnacentral:piRNA from 1 species
UUCUGAAGAUGCAGGGCAUGAAUGGUC